ACGCUCGACACCUACGAGGCAGCAGUGAGGGAUAUUGGUCAAUGGGGGAAACCCUGAACCAGCAACGCCGCGUGAGGGAUGACGGUCUUCGGAUUGUAAACCUCUGUCCUCUGUGAAGAUAAUGACGGUAGCAGAGGAGGAAGCUCCGGCUAACUACGUGCCGNAGCCGCCGGUAAGUACUGAGCGGGCGUGGCGAAGGACG
rnacentral:rRNA from 1 species